rnacentral:rRNA from 1 species
UACGAAGGGGGCUAGCGUUGCUCGGAAUCACUGGGCGUAAAGCGCACGUAGGCGGAUUGUUAAGUCGGGGGUGAAAUCCUGGAGCUCAACUCCAGAACUGCCUUCGAUACUGGCGAUCUCGAGUUCGGGAGAGGUGAGUGGAACUGCGAGUGUAGAGGUGGAAUUCGUAGAUAUUCGCAAGAACACCAGUGGCGAAGGCGGCUCACUGGCCCGAUACUGACGCUGAGGUGCGAAAGCGUGGGGAGCAAACAGG